AUUGAACGCUAGCGGGAUGCCUUACACAUGCAAGUCGAACGGAGUGGCGAACGGGUGAGUAAUGUAUCGGAACGUGCCCAGUAGCGGGGGAUAACUACGCGAAAGGGGAGCUAAUACCGCAUACUAUUGGAUGGGCCGAUGUCGGAUUAGCUAGUUGGUGGGGUAACGGCCUACCAAGGCGACGAGCCGUAACUGGUUUGAGAGGAGGACCAGCCACACUGGGACUGAGACACGGCCCAGACUCCUACGGGAGGCAGCAGUGGGGAAUUUUGGACAAUGGGCGAAACCCGGAUCCAGCCAUCCCGCGUGUGCGAUGAAGGUCUUCGGAUUGUAAAGCACUUUAGGUAGGGAAGCGGUACCUGCAGAAUAAGCACCGGCUAACUACGUGCCAGCAGCCGCGGUAAUAC
rnacentral:rRNA from 1 species